GUGGGUGAUAAAUUUUUCAUUAAAGGAUCAACUAUUCAAAUCAGAUUUCAACAUUUUACGUGAGUGUUAAAUAUAUGGACUUUUGCCGACCAUGAAAUGGAAGAGAACUUGUUUUUCGUAAGGACUUUUGGACUUGAUCUGAAAAUAUUGAAGACUGAUGAACUGACGUUCGUG